GAAAUGCGAUAAGUAAUGUGAAUUGCAGAAUUCAGUGAAUCAUCGAAUCUUUGAACGCACAUUGUGCCCGCCAGCACUCUGGCGGGCAUGCCUGUUCGAGCGUCAUUUCAACCCUCAGAACCCCUUGCGGGAUCUGGCGUUGGGGAUUGGCAUCCAGCCAGCCCCGAAAUCUAGUGGCGGUCCCUCCGCGACCUCCCCUGUGCAGUAGCGAUACCUCGCAGCGGGACAGCGGUCUGACCACGCCGUAAAACCCCCAACUUCUCAAGGUUGACCUCGAAUCAGGUAGGAGUACCCGCUGAACUUAAGC
rnacentral:misc_RNA from 1 species